UUAAAUUGAAGAGUUUGAUCAUGGCUCAGAUUGAACGCUGGCGGCAGGCCUAACACAUGCAAGUCGAACGGUAACAGGAAGCAGCUUGCUGCUUCGCUGACGAGUGGCGGACGGGUGAGUAAUGUCUGGGAAACUGCCUGAUGGAGGGGGAUAACUACUGGAAACGGUGGCUAAUACCGCAUAACGUCGCAAGACCAAAGAGGGGGACCUUCGGGCCUCUUGCCAUCAGAUGUGCCCAGAUGGGAUUAGCUUGUUGGUGAGGUAACGGCUCACCAAGGCGACGAUCCCUAGCUGGUCUGAGAGGAUGACCAGCCACACUGGAACUGAGACACGGUCCAGACUCCUACGGGAGGCAGCAGUGGGGAAUAUUGCACAAUGGGCGCAAGCCUGAUGCAGCCAUGCCGCGUGUAUGAAGAAGGCCUUCGGGUUGUAAAGUACUUUCAGCGGGGAGGAAGGUGUUGUGGUUAAUAACCACAGCAAUUGACGUUACCCGCAGAAGAAGCACCGGCUAACUCCGUGCCAGCAGCCGCGGUAAUACGGAGGGUGCAAGCGUUAAUCGGAAUUACUGGGCGUAAAGCGCACGCAGGCGGUCUGUCAAGUCGGAUGUGAAAUCCCCGGGCUCAACCUGGGAACUGCAUUCGAAACUGGCAGGCUUGAGUCUUGUAGAGGGGGGUAGAAUUCCAGGUGUAGCGGUGAAAUGCGUAGAGAUCUGGAGGAAUACCGGUGGCGAAGGCGGCCCCCUGGACAAAGACUGACGCUCAGGUGCGAAAGCGUGGGGAGCAAACAGGAUUAGAUACCCUGGUAGUCCACGCCGUAAACGAUGUCUACUUGGAGGUUGUGCCCUUGAGGCGUGGCUUCCGGAGCUAACGCGUUAAGUAGACCGCCUGGGGAGUACGGCCGCAAGGUUAAAACUCAAAUGAAUUGACGGGGGCCCGCACAAGCGGUGGAGCAUGUGGUUUAAUUCGAUGCAACGCGAAGAACCUUACCUGGUCUUGACAUCCACAGAACUUUCCAGAGAUGGACUGGUGCCUUCGGGAACUGUGAGACAGGUGCUGCAUGGCUGUCGUCAGCUCGUGUUGUGAAAUGUUGGGUUAAGUCCCGCAACGAGCGCAACCCUUAUCCUUUGUUGCCAGCGGUUAGGCCGGGAACUCAAAGGAGACUGCCAGUGAUAAACUGGAGGAAGGUGGGGAUGACGUCAAGUCAUCAUGGCCCUUACGACCAGGGCUACACACGUGCUACAAUGGCGCAUACAAAGAGAAGCGACCUCGCGAGAGCAAGCGGACCUCAUAAAGUGCGUCGUAGUCCGGAUUGGAGUCUGCAACUCGACUCCAUGAAGUCGGAAUCGCUAGUAAUCGUGGAUCAGAAUGCCACGGUGAAUACGUUCCCGGGCCUUGUACACACCGCCCGUCACACCAUGGGAGUGGGUUGCAAAAGAAGUAGGUAGCUUAACCUUCGGGAGGGCGCUUACCACUUUGUGAUUCAUGACUGGGGUGAAGUCGUAACAAGGUAACCGUAGGGGAACCUGCGGUUGGAUCACCUCCUUACCUUAAAGAA
rnacentral:rRNA from 3 species